CCAACGGCUCUUUUCAGAGCCACCUACGUAACUCAAAAGAGCUUGG
rfam:Neotoma lepida isolate 417 scaffold_5831, whole genome shotgun sequence.